CGGACGACCCAACUAGAUACUGUGCACAACAUACGUGGAAAAAUUGAUGAAGCCAGGUUCGUGCGUUGCAUUUGGAUGUUCGAACCGAAGAAAGAAAGGGAACUGCAUAAUAUUUCACAAGAAUACACUCAAGAGAGGAAAGGAUGUUACACACCACAUCUCAUUCCUAGAGCUGUGCCUACUGUCUUUCCUGGACAUCCUCCCUAUAAACAGACCCAUGGCUCAAGACUCCCAGCAAAACCAUGUACAACAUC